GUGGCGGUGGGUGAAGGCCAUGUUCAAAUCGCAUCAGUAGGCCACUUAGGGCCCUGAGGAAGAGACCUCCUGACAGUGAGGACCACGGUCUGCAAUGAGACCGACUGCACAGUCCAGUGGCCAUCUCUCUUGGAAGCACAUACCCCACAGAUGCACCAUGAGAGACAGUCAUCGAAGCCAUGCCCGCUCUGAGCAUAGCAUUGAAGUCAUCCCUCAAAGCUGCUGAUCCGCACUUCCUCCAGACGAGAUGAAUAUUUUCAAUACCUCCCAAGCUAAGAUGAAAUCUACAAAGUGACUCCCUUCCCUCAGACGACAAGCGAUGGCCC
rnacentral:lncRNA from 1 species